AGGAUUCCACUAGUAACUGCGGGGGAUGCCGUAGUA
rnacentral:rRNA from 1 species